rnacentral:rRNA from 1 species
GAUGAACGCUAGCGGCAGGCCUAAUACAUGCAAGUCGAACGGCAAGACUCUUUCGGGAGUCCUAGAGUGGCGCACGGGUGCGUAACGCGUAUGCAACCUACCUUUUACUGGGGGAUAGCCCGGGGAAACCCGGAUUAAUACCUCAUAGUAUCCCAGAUUGGCAUCAUGAAGGGAUUAAAGAUUUAUCGGUAAAAGAUGGGCAUGCGUCUGAUUAGCUAGUUGGUGGUGUAACGGACUACCAAGGCGAUGAUCAGUAGGGGGUCUGAGAGGAUGAUCCCCCACACUGGCACUGAGAUACGGGCCAGACUCCUACGGGAGGCAGCAGUAGGGAAUAUUGGGCAAUGGGCGAGAGCCUGACCCAGCCAUGCCGCGUGAAGGAUGAAGGCGUUCUGCGUUGUAAACUUCUUUUAUAGGGGAAGAAAAAGAGGAUGCGUCCUCAACUGACGGUACCCUAUGAAUAAGCACCGGCUAACUCCGUGCCAGCCGCCGCGGUAAAAC